rnacentral:lncRNA from 1 species
UUUCAUUUUAUAUUAAAAUUAAUAAUUUAUUGUUCAUAAUUAAGAAUAUUAAUAAUUAUAAUAAAUUUACAAAUAUAAUAAAAUAAAUAUUAUUCAUUAAAUAUAUUUUUUAUUAGUUUUGUAAUUAAAAACUAUAAUUCUUUAAAUAAGGAUAAAAUUGUAAUUUGAAACUAUUUACUCCUAAUCCAAGACAAAGUAAACACAUAAAUUGGAUUCUGAUCUCUAUUCCAUGCUUCCAUUCUAGUGUAAGUAAACAACCUACUCCCACUCCCACUCCACACUCCUAAUCCAAGGAUUCUCACUCCUCAGGAUUCUCACUCCAAUCCAAAAAGUAAACACAGCA